AUACUUACCUGGAUGGGGUCAAUGGGUGAUCAAUAAUAUCCAUGGCCUAGGAUGGUGACCUCCAUUGCACUUUGAAGGGGUACUUACCUAAGGCUGAUUCAAGAGAGUCGACUCUACGUGAUAAUUUGUUACAGUAGUGGCCUGCGCUUGCGUGGCCCCCCU